UUCCUCCUCCUAGCCCCGAGCCGCCACGCACCACCAAGCGAUGCCGGAGCCCCGCCCAACCAUGCGCCGCCGGAGCCCCGGCCAACCACGCGCCAACAGAGCCCCGCCCCACCGCGCCACGCGCUGCCAGAGCCCCGCCGCACCACUCGCGGCGACUCCCCACUACUUCACACCUCCUCCCGCCAUGGCCAACACCUCCGAAUUCUGGCUAGCCAUAGCCUCCCCGCGACGCGCCGCCGAUGCAUCCAGCCAUCCACGGCCUACUCACGUCAUGCCGCCAGUGGAUCCAGCCAUGCACGGCCUCCCUUGAUGCGCCGUCACCGGAUCCGGCCAUCCCGAGCGCCGCCCUGCCAUGGUGGUUGGGCCUCCCUUGAUCUCCCCUCCCUCCGGCGCCGGCCAGCGCCACGCCCGGACCUGACCCCUCCCUGUUCAUCCACAUCCUCCCUCCCAUCCCGCUGCAUCUCUCCCCAGCUCUUCCUUCCUUCCGACGGCCCAAAAUCCAUGCCUCUCGAGCCGCCCCGGGGUCCUCCUCUCCGUCCACGGCCAGAUGUAGGCCGGGCGUGUCGUCUCCGACCUCCUUCAUCAUCCACGGCCCCCGCGCCACCCCUGGACAUCGGCACAUGACGACGAGCUUGUUCUACUCGCGUGAACUACAGAGGGGAACGAGACAUUUGCUCACGCGCCCCCUAAGUGGGAGCUUCUUCUCUUCCGGCGAGGACAAACGACCUCGAUCCGGCGUUUCCUCUCCUCACCGUCGUGCCCUUCUCAGUCAGGUGCCAUCAACCGCAUGGGAGAGGGGAGAAACUCCCAGCACCGGCCCUGUGUCAUUCGAGCGGUGAAGCCCCCUUGCAGUUUGCGACAUGUACGAGUGCAGUACGGUAGUCACGUUGGUGCAGCCCGCUGGCCUCCAGCAGGGGAUGCAACUCUUUCGGUGGGCGAAGUGCAGUCCACGACGAGCACCAAUGCAGUGCGGUGCUCUUCAAUUCUUCAGAUUUCUUUUGUGCAGUUCUGUUUGGAGCUUCCCAGCCUCCGCCGCCGCAUCGAAUUCAAACUGCACGUACACGUUGCGAUCUAAGACAAGGAGUCACGUUUGAUCUCCAUAGUCCAAUGGAGAACACAAACGAGGGAGAUUACCAGGCCAAAGGUAGUCUGAAUACAGUGCACUUCAGUUUCCCUGAGAAAACUGAAAACUGCUAUAUUCGGAUUGUGCUUGGCACGGAUGUACCCGCAAUUUUUGGUGCUUGGCAUGGCUGUACCUAGAGACCACUAGCAAACUUGGGGCACUUCAGACUUCAGAGGACUAUGGGAUGCGAUGCAACUGUGGCAUCUCAACUGACAUGGCGGCGACAGUGGCUCGACGAUAACGCAGCGGCUGUAGCUUGACAGUGACAACGCGUAGGCGGCUCCAUUGGACGUACCGUGGCGGCGACGACGGCGGUGGCAGCUUGACAGCGACGAAACUGCUGCAGCUCAAUAGCAACGAGGGCACAGCGGCUCGACGAUCCUCUACUUUUCUGAUCCAUGCAGUACGCCUCUCUCUAAUUUUUGGCACGAGAAUAUUCAGAGUAUAGAGAAACAAGCAAGUUCGUUGGACCCUUCUGUUCAUUUGUUGGUGAGUAGCAGAAGCCGUUGGAUGGGAUGGAUAGUGAACGAAUGCCCGAUUUUGACCCCUACGGCAGUUCUACCGUGCACGAAGGCACUGCAGACGAGCCACGUCCGAUCAGUCCACUAUGUUCUCUAAUGCAGAAAAAUGGAGGAGAAAUCAACUAUAAAAAAGAAACACAAGACACAGUUUGCUCUCUCUCGAUGGACUCGCUCUCCUGCAUGCAGUUCUUUAAGAUUUUGAUUGAUGUCCUGUAUUGUGGGUCGUGGAGUUUGAUUGAUGUCCUAGUAAAGUUCAUAAAAAAAUGUCUGUUUAGAUUUGCAGUGCGGUGCAUAGUAUAUAGGAGUUUUCUUUUGUAAAAAAUUGUACAGAGGAGUUCACUUAUUUUUUUUGGAGGAUUUUUUUGCAAAA